rnacentral:tRNA from 1 species
GGGCAGUUAGCUCAGCCGGUCCAGAGCGUCUGGUUUACACCCAGAAGGUCGGGGGUUCGAAUCCCUCACUGCCCA